UGUAUUUCACAUUCCAUUGCGAAUACCCUGCAGUUUUUUCAAAGUUAUGUCAUAAUCGCAAUUCACAAAGCUAUGUUUCUGUAGGCUCUAUAUUAUUUGUACAUGUGUGAAAGAUCUUUGUGCCUAUUGUAAAUGAGGAGUCGGAAGUGUGUUUUCCUGGAUUUAUGGAUUUUACACCUGCAUAAAUAGUGAAGGAGAAAAGCUCACUUAAAGUAGUUUUGUAAGUUGGAAAAGCAUAAACCAUUAAUAAGUGGUUACUACUUAAUCUUUAUUUUUCCUGACUCUAAAAGACCUAUUUAGA
rnacentral:lncRNA from 1 species